rnacentral:misc_RNA from 1 species
AACAUCGCGCACCUGCGGGAACCUGCGGAAGGAUCAUUAUCGAGUUGCAAAACUCCAACCCUUUGUGAACAUACCUCAGUCGUUGCUUCGGCGGUGGACGGCCUGUUUUUCGGAACGGCCGGAAGCCGCCGGAGGUUCCAAACUCGUAUUUUUUAGUGUAUCUCUGAGCCUGAAAACAAAUAAUCAAAACUUUCAACAAUGGAUCU